CCUACGGGUGGCUGCAGUAGGGAAUCUUCGGCAAUGGACGAAAGUCUGACCGAGCAACGCCGCGUGAGUGAAGAAGGUUUUCGGAUCGUAAAACUCUGUUGGUAGAGAAGAACGUUGGUGAGAGUGGAAAGCUCAUCAAGUGACGGUAACUACCCAGAAAGGGACGGCUAACUACGUGCCAGCAGCCGCGGUAAUACGUAGGUCCCGAGCGUUGUCCGGAUUUAUUGGGCGUAAAGCGAGCGCAGGUGGUUUAUUAAGUCUGGUGUAAAAGGCAGUGGCUCAACCAUUGUAUGCAUUGGAAACUGGUAGACUUGAGUGCAGGAGAGGAGAGUGGAAUUCCAUGUGUAGCGGUGAAAUGCGUAGAUAUAUGGAGGAACACCGGUGGCGAAAGCGGCUCUCUGGCCUGUAACUGACACUGAGGCUCGAAAGCGUGGGGAGCA
rnacentral:rRNA from 1 species